rnacentral:rRNA from 2 species
GCAUAUCAAUAAGCGGAGGAAAAGAAACUAACAAGGAUUCCCCUAGUAACUGCGAGUGAAGCGGGAAAAGCUCAAAUUUAAAAUCUAAUGGUCCUUGGCCAUUCGAGUUGUAAUUUAGAGAAGCGUCUUCCGCGCCAGACCAUGUACAAGUCUCCUGGAACGGAGCGUCAUAGAGGGUGAGAAUCCCGUCUUUGACAUGGACCCUUGGUGCUUCUGUGAUGCGCUCUCAAAGAGUCGAGUUGUUUGGGAAUGCAGCUCAAAAUGGGUGGUGAACUCCAUCUAAGGCUAAAUAUUGGCGAGAGACCGAUAGCGAACAAGUACCGUGAGGGAAAGAUGAAAAGCACUUUGGAAAGAGAGUGAAACAGUACGUGAAAUUGUUGAAAGGGAAACACUUGAAGUCAGUCGCGUCGAUCGAGACUCRGCCUCGCCUUUGGCUUGGCGUACUUCUCGACUUGACGGGCCAGCAUCAAUUUCGUCCCUCGGAUAAUGGCAGGGGAAAGGUGGCACCUUCACGGGUGUGUUAUAGUCUCUUGUCGCAUGCGAGGGGUGGGAUUGAGGAACUCAGCACGCACCUCACGGUGUCGGGGCUUCGGCCCACGUUACGUGCUCAGGAUGCCGGCGUAAUGGCUUUAAAUGACCCGUCUUGAAACACGGACCAAGGAGUCUAACAUGCCUGCGAGUGUUCGGGUGGAAAACCCGUGUGCGUAAUGAAAGUAAAAGUUGGGACCUCUGUCGUGGAGGGCACCGACGCCCGGACCAGACCUUCUGUGACGGAUCUGCGGUAGAGCAUGCAUGUUGGGACCCGAAAGAUGGUGAACUAUGCCUGAAUAGGGUGAAGCCAGAGGAAACUCUGGUGGAGGCUCGUAGCGAUUCUGACGUGCAAAUCGAUCGUCAAAUUUGGGUAUAGGGGCGAAAGACUAAUCGAACCAUCUAGUAGCUGGUUCCGCGA